CUAUCUGGAUUUUAAAUCUAAAUAUGCCCAUCAUUAAUCUAUACCUCAUACAGCUUUCCUUCAUUGUUUUUGUUGAUUAUUUUGUUACUGUAUUUUUUUUCAGUUUGGGUAUCUACUCGUGGUUCUUGUCAGUUGUCUUUAACACUUUUCUCUACAGUUUGUUGGUUCAUCAAGGUAUUUUUAACUGAAAUUUAUUAAUUCUGAUGUUUUUUUUUUUUCAGAAGAGAUUUAUUUUUCGAGAAACUCUUUGAGACUCAUCCUCGUUAGUAGUUCUAUAAUUGUUACGCGCAUAUUGCACUUGUUUCCUUUCAUUUUAGAUUCUUAGUGGAGUGAAGAAGCUUAUAAUAUUAUAAAGAUGUUUAAUUUUUUUUUCUGUGGACAACUUUUCUACCAAGAUAUCUUGCUCUAAUUUUUAGGUGUAGAAUCUUUUAUGAAAGAAAAUCGGUGUGGAGAGGUACUUCAGGGAGGUCAUUUUU